AUAUUAAUGUUAUAGAAAAAAUAUGUAAGCAAGAAUCCUGAAGCAAUUUGAAGAUGUAUAGCGACACAUGACUCAGAGGGCAUUUCGAAUCAUGUUGUUGUUUUGCCUCGGAGUAUCAAGACGGAGUAUAAGCAAUGUAAGAACAAAUAAACUCCGGGCAAAACAAUGCCGCUGCUACAGGCCACCGUCGAACGAAGACGAAUUUGAAUUUUCCGACUCUUCCCCGACUGGUAUAAAUAAACAAACGUGAUCGCGUGCGACACAGUAUCGAACAGUUCAUAUCGAGUAUCAACGCGACGAACAAUAACGAGUAUUUAUUCCGAGUUUUAUAUUGUAUCAACGAUUCACUAAUGAACAUAUGGUGAUUGAAGAAUUGUUGAAGCUUUUCGUUGGUGAAGUUGAUACAGAGUUGCUCAAAGCUGUUGUACUGCUCGAGACCAAGGAGGGGAAAAGCAACGGAACAGAAAACAGAGGAACAGGACGCAUAACGGGGAUAUCGCUUAAGCACGACAUAAGUUACACGUUAUGUUUUUUCAUAAGGAAAACAUUCUCCCGUUUCCCGUUGGUCUACUUCGAAACAACUAAUAUUUUCACUUUCAUCGACUUUGGUUUUAUCUUGAUUUUAUCCGUUAUUGCUUGUUCUUCGCUCUUUUAAUCGGAUCGAUCAAACAAGUCGUUAGAUUCGAAGCAGACCUACGAAGGGCCAGGGAGAUGCCAAAUGUUCGAAAAUAUGACGUAACAUUAAUUCACGUAUAUGAAUGACACAAGGGCAUAAAAGUUUAUCAAUCGUAUAUCGAUAAACUGUAAUUCUAAAAGUUAAAGGCUAUGUUUAAAUCGAUCGAUUAAUGUAUGAUAAAACAUCGAUCGCGAUAAUUAUAACGGUCGAUGACAAGAUUUUCAUUCGAGAGAGGCAUAUAACGUAUUAUUGUAAUUACGUAUAUCGAAGCCCGAUUCGAAUUUCACUUUUUAAGUAAUAAAUAUACCAUGUACGAGAUUCUUCGCCAAUAAACAAAGAUUGUCUACAUUU
rnacentral:lncRNA from 1 species